GUGAUGGAUUGAUAACACUGUCUCAUCAUUACACCCUUUAUACGUCAUUAUAGCACAUAGCAAGAAACAAGCUACAAGCAAAUCCCCCAGUCUGGCUCUCCUGGCUGUACACCAGCCCAAAUUCUUCAGAAAAAGUGAUGAGGGGUCCCCAUCUCUCCAGGAUCCAGUGAAUAGGGUGCUCUCAUUGGAUGUGGCAACUUGGCCAGCUGCUCAAACAGGUAACACCUGUCAUUCCAGAGCCUUCCAUUUGCUGUAGAAGCCAUAUAAUCACUAGUCUAGUUGUGCAAAUGAAGGAAAGUAUUUCAAGCACUAAAUGCCGUUUUCCCAGGACACUUGCUGCAGAAUUAGCUCCCUAAGCAAAGACACUCCUGCUAGGACAGACAGGACUGACACUCUGGUCUGUCUUUGAUGCCAAAGCAGCACUGACAAACCCCUGUCUGGAAGCCUAAUGAGUCCCCAUGCAGGGUAUAACUCUCUUCAAGACUCUAAAUGAACCUCACAAAUUUGACUUCUGGUCUUUCGGGCACUGUGGCAACACCUGUCACAUCAGCAUGAGUCCUGUGCUCAAUGCCUUAUAGGAUACUUACUCACGUGCAUGGCACACGUGUGUGCAUGUGCAUGCAUGAGUUCUCAUUUAUUCAAUCAUUUAUUUAUGUACAAAAGUAUAUUCAAUAUAACUACAUUAUUAACCUGUUCUUUAUGCAUUAUGAAUAAGGCAAAAGUGCAAGGACAAGACUGUGAGCAGUGUUUCAACAGGUCAGCUUGAGUCCAUUCCUCUGUAAGCAUACAUAAAAUAUAUGAUGGCAUGCCAUAAAAGCUUCAGAAUUAUUACUGAGAGGAGUUUGUCAGAUGAUCUGAAUGGAGACUGAAUAAACUGUGAAGGACAUGCCCAGCUAGCAAAGGCAGCCAAAAGGCUCAGCGCUUCGUGCAGCAGGUGGUGCAGAAGAGUGCUUAAGAGGGGGACAGAAGCCCUGUACAUGUGUUUGGCAAUGGUGGUGACAUGCCAAAAGGAUGCCAGCACUCAUGGGAUCAACUUCUCUGGCACAGGGACCCAGAAUGAGCUCACCCAGGAGGAUGGAGGUCCACAGCUCUAAAGGGUGCCCAGUGCCUCCCUCUGUGCCAGGGCAGAGGAGGUCCUCACAUGCAGCCUGUGUGCAUGAAAUAAGGCUCUGUGUCAACAGGGAAAGGAGUUGGGCUGCAUGGCCUCAGGGAUGAUGAAAAAGAGGGGAAAUGGUAGACUGGGAUGAUAAGCAAACAAUUGCAGAGUGAUGAGCACAGGAUAGACUUUGCAAUCAACAAACUGGGGCCAUUGAGGCCCUGCUCAAACAUAUGCAUGCAGAUAGAGACAUGGCAAGAGGACAGCUAAAAAAAAUAUGAACUAUAAAUUAACAGUGAGGUGAAUUAAAAACUGUCUGAACUAUCAGACUCAGAUGGUUGUGACCAGCAGCACAAAGUCCAGCUGGAGGACAGUCACAGGGGAUCAGUGCAGUUAUGGUCUGAAUGUUGGGAGGGAGUGCACUCUCAGCAAGUUUGCAGGCAUUUGCUACAAAACUGGAACAAGUGAUUGAUAUUCUAGAUUAGUGUGCUGCCAUCGAGGCAUCCUUUGCAGGAUGGCUAAAUGGGCAAGGAGUUACUACCCAUGCAUAAACUGCAGACAAUGGGAAAUACUGACAUGCUUACAAAUAAUGCAAACACACACACACACACACACACACACACACACACACUUUUUUUUGGCAUUUUGGGCAGGCUAAUUUCUUAUCCUGAACUUGCACAUUGUGUAAGAAAAUGGAGCUCAAGCCUUCUUUGGUGUCAUUGUGUCCAAUGAUAAAUAAAAACAUUUGCUAGCUAUAAUGAAAGAUCAGAAAACAAUAGGUUACAACAACUAAUUACCUUCAGUGCUUCAGUCUUUUUUUUUUAUUAUUUUUGCUAAAAUUACGUGAUAUUACAAGGUGCAUUUUUGCAUAUUAAAUGUUUUCUUGUUCAACUAGGGUUUCCAGUUAAUGUCCCACACAGAGAUGAGAAGAAAAAAAAAAGUCCUCAUGUAAUUUUUAAAGAAUACUAAGCAAUCCAGUCUCACUUUAAAGGGUUUUUCUCACCAACUAAGAAUGUAUUCAUUUUUGGGUCAGCUUGUCUGCAGCUGUAGGCUUUUAAUAUUUCAGCUGAGUUCACCAGGCAAUGUGUUACUACAGUCUUUGCAAUUACCAGGAGGAAUGCAGGAACCGUCAAAGCAUCUGUUUUCCAGCACUUGCAUACAUAAAGGCUUUCUAAAAACCACAGGUACCUGAAGCCCUGAACUCCUACUGCAGUACCAAGGAUAGGGAAGCAGAGACCAUGGUUUUCUUCCCUCUUUGUGUCCCAUUUACUGUUUGCGAUUUCAUCUCUUAUGCAGUGCUUUUCUCCUCUUUUUUCCAUUGUAUUAACCUGCUUUUAAAGCUAGGAACUUGCUAAACCUGAUUUUCAUCUGGAGCCUUUCUGGCUCUGAUGUAACAUUUGAAGAUUUUUGACCAUGAUUUUGAAACCCUGCUGUGACCCUACUCUUCCUGCUGUGGAAGGGAUGAUUCAGAAAGAACUGGAAAGCUUCUACCUGGUCAGGUCUGCGCCCACAGUCUCUGUGUGAUGUCAGGGUAGUGGUUGUAAGUGGGGAGCUUCAGUAUAAGAAGCCACAGUAAAACAAGACUAUCUGGGGAUGAAAUAAAAAAGUGAAUACUUAAAAACUUCCCGGAAAAGGGAGUCCUAUGAGAUUACAGAACAAAAAGACAGCAGAAGGAUGAAGAAAAAAAUGCCUGUGGAGACAGGCACAAAAGUGCCUGUGGUGACACAUUUUAAGGAGGAAGAGAGAUAUGAGUGGGAACCAACAAAAAGAAUUAUUCCCAUCUGCCUUUCAUCUGGUGGUGAAAAAAAGAUCCAUGAUUUACUCCUAGGCACAUUGUCAGAUGAAAAGUAACUGAGAAUUAGAAGAGAAAAUCAUGGCAGAUUUACAACAUAGUUAUUGGAAAACCCAACUAAACCUGCAAAGAGCCAUGGGGUAACAGUGAAGGACAGCCAUUGCUGACAGUAGCUAGAUUUACUUCUGAUAUGAUGUAGAGAGAAACGCUUCUUGGUCCUGAGCACAAGACAGAUUUUUUUACUUCCUUGUGCCCUGUGGUGUGUCUCAGUGGAAGAAUGUAGAAUUGUUUCACAGACAUUUAAAUGAAGAUCUAAAACUUGCAGAGAAUAUUCUUUCAAAAUAGCAAAAAGUUGUAAAAGAUCAAGGAAAUCUUAAAAAGCUUUGGAGUAAAAAGUGUAGUUUUAAUUCCUUAUGAUGCCAAUAAUUUGUUCUGUAAUUACAGCUGAUGCAGUAAUAAAGGUAAAUUAUAGUUAGCUAAAUUAACUAGAAUGCAAAUUGUCUCCUUAAAUCACACAAAGACAACCUUUUGCACAUGGCAAAAUCCUGGCAUGUUCAUUAGUAGUCCUGUCAUUUGUGCUGAUUUCCCAAAAAUGUACCAGCCUAAUUUGGUUUGGGUUUGUUUUUAGAUGCAAAUAUAAAAACAAUGGAUCCAGACUCUGGUCAUUCAUACUGAGGCUUCACUUGUUUUAUGCCACUUUCUAUAGGACAUUCAGGAAAUCUGGGAGGAGACCAACCCUUUCUUGUUUCAGGGUUAAUACUCCUGGUCCAAUCUGCCCACAUGAACAGGCACAGAAAGGCUUUCCUCUGCCCCAGCAAUGUCUGGGCCCAGCAGGGCCAUCUUUGUGUGGUCAUGGGAAAUAUGGAUUCCCAACCCAACUCUUCAGCCUCCUUCCAGCUCUUUAACCUCAAACAUUCACUGCACCACCCCAAGCAAGGCCACAGGGGUCUUGCCACUCUUGGUAUUGCCUUGCUAGACAACCCAUCACAAAAUGUGGAGAUCUCAGAUCCUUGGGGCUGCUUUCUUUCCUAAGAGUGAACAUAGCUUCUGCUUGUUCACAUGCACACCAAUGCCUUUCUGUGCAUAUUCCACGGCUGGUUGUUAAGUUAAGGGGCUAGCUAAAUACUUUUUCACUUCUGAUUUUUGGCAAAGAGUGUGGUGAAUAGGGAUACACCACGUAGAAGAUUAGGAACUGUGGACUGUUGGAAGCUCUAUGCAUGACACAUCUGUGUAAAGGCUGUCUUUGUGUGUGAGAAUAUGUCCAUCUCUCUUCCUCUCAUUCUCUCUCUCUUUCUAUCUGUCUAACUAUCUUUACCUGUAUCAAUUAUCUGUAUUUUCCUUUAAUUUCUCCUCAAGUAUAGUGUGAUCAGCCCCCAGUUACAGCUGACAUGCAAAGACCAAAUAUUCUUGAAUUAAACCUGAGACCAGCCUGUUGCAAAGAACUCUCAUCUUGCUUUUCAGAAGAAAUAAACUGAAUGUGACAGGAACUCACAGGGGUAGAAAACUUUCAGUUGGUCUGGUAGGUAUUAACCACCUCAGUACCCCAGGAUAAUGAAACUCCAUUAAACACAAUGAAAUUCUAGAAGCCUCUAGGAUUAUGUGAGCUGCCUCCUACAAAGCAGAUUUGUACUCUCCCUGACCGCUGAAAGGUGGUAGAAAAACUACUGUCUGCUGCUAAUGGAAAUUAUCAACACCUACUUCAAAGAAGCUAGUUUGUCAGGCUCCCUGAAAACAGCCAUAAUUUCAAAAACAAUAAGGAAGUUAGAAAAGCCAAGUCACCCAUUUCCGUAUCUCCAGUCUGGGGAAAUUGAUGGGAGGCAGAGAAUGAAAAGCAUGUGACGUCUGCCAUCAUGCUUUGUAACUGGGCUGAACUGGUCUGCAAGAUACUAUAAUAUUACUUGGGCCAUCCUAAAGCUCCUAUUGUUUGACUCUGCAGCUCCAGAACCACAGAAGAUGAGUUAUAGAGUCACUACAGCUGAAGUGUAGUUUCAAUUAUAACUUCUUAAAAGCCAGCGAUUCAUGGUAGACAAUAGUCUUUCUAGCCCAAAUGCUCUUUUUUACAUAUUUUCAAAAUAUAAGGAUAAUAUUUGGGAUUGUGAUGCAAUGUAAUGUCAGGCCCACAGAAGGCUGAUGAUGCUCUGGUACAACCAGAAACAUCCGAAGAUUGCUUUCUCUCUUGAAGGAAUCUGCAUCUGGAGGAAAAGCCACUGACUCAGACUAUUCAUGCCAGAUUUAAAUAAUGCUACUUGGAAGAAAAGAAUUAACUAGCUGAAAUACCAGACUCCUCUAUUUAUAAUAGAGACUGGAUAUAUUUAUAAUAUAAAAGCUGGGUAGAAGCAGAUGCAUUUGACAUUUGUAUGGACAAUUGAUGUUAAUGGUGCAAAAUGCCUUAUUUUAAUCACCAGCAGUGAAAUUAAUCUCAUCUAGUUCAAACUGACUUAAAAUAAAGUUGUGAGUUCAGCUAAUCAUCUAGACUCCUUCUGUAUUCUGUGGAGACUUACUGACAUUUAUGAAAGGUGACCCAUCCUACCCUGGGUAUUUGGUAGCAGUUGGAAUAAUCACUCUUUAGAGGUGUCUGUCCUCUCUUGGCUCUAGCAGGAAGCUAAGUGCUAGUUUAGGCCAAAUGAUUAGCAUUUAAUUGGUAGGCAAGAUUAAUCCCAGUUCAUUUUAAAAAUUCCCUGGCCACAACAUGCUUAAUCCCGUCCCAUGAAUUCUGUAACAUACUCUACUACUGCCCAGAGGUGAAAAUGAAGUGUGUUUCAAUCUUUAGACCACAGAGACAAAUUUCCUCCUUGUGCUAAAUUGCUGGGGUCACAUUAAUCCUUUAUCUCAACUUUUCCUGGAUUCCAGUUUGUGGUCAUGAUUAGUUUGAAAAACAGAUUUUACUUUUCAGUGGUGACAAUGAGCUGGGUCUUACAGAAACAUAAAGAUAUCCCAGGCAAAGGCCCUAAGGGACAGGAGACUUUUUUUCUUUCUGGGGUUCUGUUACUUAGGGGGUUCAUGUGGAGGAGAGUGCUGAAUUUUCUGUGUUUUUCAGAGCAUAAGACUGAACCUCAGACAUUUAAGGCCAUGACCUAUCUUGCAGGAUAAAGAUUAAAAUUUAUGCUAGAUUGAGAAAUUUUAAAAUGAUGAAACAAGUCAGAUGCCUGAUCAAGAAUAUAAUAUGAAAAUGGGUACAUAUCACUUACCUUCUAUCUCUAACCAUUUCUUCCUUCCACUCUUCCUUUUAAUUUUCAGCUUCAGUAUUUUUGACUGAUUUUAAUUCAGCCCAGUGUAUAUUAACAACAGUUUUUGCCUCCCAAAUUCUGCUUCCAGUGAGAAUCCAAUUUGAUCACGCAUUAAAAAACCCCUAUAAAUCUCCAAAACAGAUGGGAAGUUGGAUUGAAUUCAUUGAUAUAUAACUCUGGAAAAAAUGUGAGUCUACAAAUUUGUGGCUUUUUUAAAAGUAGCAUAUUUGGAAAAAGUUGUUAAGUCUGGUUGCCAGGACACUUUAGAAAAUGUUUUUUUUUCAAAUCCAUAUUACGAAGACUUAGCUUGUGUUUCACUUCCAUCAAUGGAUGGGAUGUUAAUUGAGUGGAGUGUGGAUGCACGUAUGGAUAAAGACCCACACUCUGGGAAUGCCAUCUGUAAGCCCACCUCAGCUAGAAAGGGUAUGGCUUUGCUAGCAUGGGAGUUAUGUUGUAAUAAAGCAAAAGCAAUUCACUUCUUCCACUUUGCCUCCUAACGUUAUACAUUAACUUAGGAAAGUCCAGUGUUAACACAGUUCUACAGAUUCCAGAUCAUAAGUGGCUUGUAUACGGGCAGCUUAAAAACCAGACAUUUGCCAAAGUGGACAUACCUAAAAGAGAACAAAAUUAUGUGUGUAAUGGGUCUUUUUCACAUGGAUGGUCUCCCUGCUAAUGCUGAAAGUGGCAUGCUGGCAUCGUUAAUUUUGGUCCCCACACGAGCACGGCACGUGGGAGACAAGCCCCAGCACUGUGAGCUGUCAGAGUGGGAGCCUGGGGCUGGUGCUGUGCUGGCGGUGCUGCUGCUGCAGAGCCAAAGGGCCUGCUGUGGAAGAAGAGUCUGCCCUCAGGAUUAUCCAGGCUGUAAGCAGAUGGGACAGACAGACAGACAGAGAUCUGGCAGCUGCAUCCUGAGCACAUAUGAUGGCUCUGUCAGGGAUGUGGAAAGGACACUCUUGUUUUUCUCAGGCAGAACACUUGGUCCCUCAGUGAAUGCAAAUCCAUCUACCCCUCUGCAACCUGUGUAGAGGGAAGCAGCAUGGAGGCAGCACCAAUCCUCUGUGCACCUCCAGCCACUGCAGUAAGAGAGAGAGAUCUGGCCUUAAAGGAGUAAGACACAUGAACAGGAGGAAUUCGUGCCUUCUGCUGUGUAUGUCUUUAAGUAUGAUAAAAGGUGCCUAUUACCUUCUUCUGUGCAAGUAAAAAUAACUUCAGCUGACUCUUUCAUUUUCCUUAUGCAUAUUCUUUCCUGAUUCUAAGAUUCCCCAUUUGCAUCACAGUGCUAUCCUAAUUCUCAAUGGUAUGGGAAUUUUUUUCACAUGUUCUCUUUUCUUCCAGAUUAAGCUAGUAAAUUGUUGUAUCCACUGAGGACUUCUCUAAACUCAGACCAGUAUGUGAAUCCCUUUUCUUUGCUUCCUGUUUUUUUCAAAACUUGAGAGAGCACCAGUAAUCAGAGAUUAAAAUUACAAAAUUAAGGUCAAUUAAUUUAGGUCAACCAAGGAAUGGCCCAGUUGUUAAAUUUGGGCCAUUUCAUGUGUCUAGAGUACCUUACCUGCUGCUCCAGAGAAGCCAUGUCUCCUAUAGAUUCCGUGGCACAUCUGCCAGACCCUGCAGAUACCUCCUAUACCCUCAGGUUUCUCAAAGGCACUAGAUGCUGAUGCUUAGGCACCAGUCACACAUGUGGGCAUUUAGGUGUCUUAAUUUCCAACCAAACAUCACAUAGAAUAUCUAUUUCCUCUUUCAUCUGCUCUGAAAUUUUGUGGUUUGUUUUUGUUUUUUUUUCUUUUUGUUGGGGGUUUUGUGUGUGUAUGUGUGUGUUUUACACUGCAUAUAAAGGUGGAGAAAGAAUUUAUUACUUUUUGGAAAAUGAAUCACAUAAUUCUUUUAGAAUAACAGUCAUAAUUGUCAGCCUUUUAUGUGCCUUUUAGUGUAAAAUAACCUGGCAGGCAUCUAGAAAACAGCUUCAAAAUGAGUAGAGGUUAUUAUGCAUUUGACAAGAGCAAAUAUAUCUGGCAAGUCCUAUUUCCUUCUACAGCAGGGUGACCAGAUCUGGGAAGAGACAACGGACACCAUUUGUCACAUAAUUAUUACUCAGUGAAUCUUCUGGCACUGUCAGCUGUGGCAAUCUUACAAACAAACAAGGGAAAUGUUACCAGACUGAAAUUACCAAAGACCACGGAAGAUUACAGUGAAGCAGAUAUCCACCUGCAGCUGUGAAAGAUCCCCGCUGGAGCAGGUUGAUGUGUUCUGGAGGAAGCUGCAGCCUGCAGAGAGAAGACCACACAGCAGCAAGAUUUCUCAGAGGAACUGUGGCCCACACUGAAACAGUCCACUCCUGAAGGGCAGCAUCUGGCAAAAGGACCAAAGCUGGAGCGCUUCUUGGAGAACUGAAGCCUGUGGGAAGGGCUCAUUUUGGAGAAGUUCAUGAAGAACUCUCAUGACAGAAUAGUGGAAGAGCAUCACGAAGAAGGAGUGACAGAGAUGAUGUGUGAUGAACUGACUGCAAGCCCCACUCCCCAUCACUGUGCUCUGCUCUAUGGGGAGGAAGUAGAAGAGUUGGGAGAGAAGUUGAACCCAAGAAGGAUGGAGUGGGGGACAGUUUUUCUUAGACAUAUUUUUAUUUCUCAGUGUCCUACUUUUACAAUUAAUAGGCAAUAAAUUACAUUUAUCUUC